rnacentral:rRNA from 1 species
UACGGGGGGAGCAAGCGUUGUUCGGAUUUACUGGGCGUAAAGGGCGCGUAGGCGGCGUGACAAGUCACUUGUGAAAUCUCCGGGCUUAACUCGGAGCGGCCAAGUGAUACUGUCGUGCUAGAGUGCAGGAGAGGAACGCGGAAUUCCAGGUGUAGCGGUGAAAUGCGUAGAUAUCUGGAGGAACACCGGUGGCGAAGGCGGCGUUCUGGACUGCAACUGACACUGAGAAACGAAAGCCAGGGUAGCAAACGGG